rnacentral:tRNA from 1 species
GGACAGAUGGCCGAGUUGGUUAUGGCGCCAGGUUAAGGCUACUUAACAUUGUUUCCUGGUCACUUUAUGUGGCAAGGGUUCGAAUCCCUUUCUGUUCA